UUUUUUGUCUUUCUGCCAUUUCUUGGGCCGCUCCCAUAGCAUAUGGAGGUUCCCAGGGCAAGGGUCGAAUCGGAGCUGUAACCACUGGCCUACACCAGAGCCACAGCAACCCGGGAUCCAAGUCUGCAACCUACACCACAGCUCACGGUGAUGCUGGAUCCCCAACCCAUUGAGCAAGGCCGGGGAUCGAACCCACAACCCCAUGAUUCCUAGUCAGAUUCGUUAACCACUGAGCCACGACGGGAACUCUAGUCCCAGUUUAUUUUUGAUGCUCCGAGAUAAUUUUUUUUUUUUUUUUGUCUUUUCAGGGCCACACCCAUGGCAUAUGGAGGUUAAGGAUUUGGCAUUGUCACUGCAGUGGCUCAGAUCACUGCUGUGGCAUGGGUUCAGUCCCUGGCCUGUGAACCUCCACAUGCCACAGGUGUGGCCAAAGGAAAAAAAAAAAAAAAAAAACAAUGCUUAGAGGGAAGUAAGUGCUAAUCCAGAUUUUCAUUCACAACUAAAACAUCAAUCAAGAACAAGAGCUAGGAGUUCCUGCUCUGGUGCAGCGGGUUAAGAAUCCAUCUGCAGCAGUUCAGUUUGCUAAAAAGGCAUGGGUUCAAUCUUUGGCCUGGCACAGUGGGUUAAAGAAUCCAGCAUUGCUGCAGCUGUGGUGUGGGUCACAGCUGCAGCCUGAAUUCAGUCUCUGGCCUGGGAACUUCCAUAUGCUACAAGUGCAGCCAUUUAAAAAAAAAAAAAAAGGGCUAAAUAUUUUCAACAAACAAAAAUCCUAAUUUACCACCAUCAGACCUUUAGUCAAGGAACUUCUGAAGGAUAUACUUCAUGAAGAAGGAACGUGAUUUCAGAACAAAAGCUAACAAGAAAUUGGUAAACGUGGUGAAGUUAAAUAAAUACGAAUUGUAUAAAAAGAAUAAAAUGCUUAAUAAUGUCCUGAAAAGAACAAGGUAGAAUUAUAAUACUGAACGACUAUAACAAAAGGAGUGAUUCAUCCAUAGUGGCCUUCUUCUGGAAACUUGUCUCUUCUACCACCACACCUCCAACCACCCACUUGAUUACUAACUGUUAUCAAAUUAGCUCAGUGUUGUCCCACACCAUAAAUGAUAGUCCAGAGGUGGGCAACCAGUCCAAGCAGGAACAAACACAAUCUUUAGAAACUACAAAUAGAUUACAAAAGCAAAGAGCAGGAGUCAACAGGUAUACAGUUGUGUUCAUGAAGCACCACAUGCCUUGUUGAUGCCUCCUACUAUUGUCUGAAAUGCUUCCUUCCGCUUUUCUACUUGUCUAAACCAUCUUUGAAGGACCCAGCUUAAGCCUUCCCAUCCCCCUCACCUGGCCAUCCUUCCUUCUAUAAAUGAAACGAAGUGGAAAAUAAUUAACCUCUGUGGACUCUCAGUGUACCAGGAAUUUCACAUACACUACCACUUAACCUUAACUACACUGGAAUGACAGCACUUGCGGUCUCUACACUCAGCACAGCAGUUAUUUUCUUAAAGGAUACUGCCCUACUUAACAGCUUCCUAAACAUUCUAUAUGUUUACAUGUGUUCUCUGUCACCAGAAUAUAACAUUCUCAAAUAUAAGAACUAUGUCUUCCAUGUCAUUCUUACUCCCAUUCAUCUUCUCUACUCCUCCCCUCUCAUUUCGAAAUAUU
rnacentral:lncRNA from 1 species